rnacentral:ncRNA from 1 species
UCCCUGGUUGAUCCUGCCAGUAGUCAUAUGCUUGUCUCAAAGAUUAAGCCAUGCAUGUCUCAGUGCAAGCCGCAUUAAGGUGAAACCGCGAAAGGCUCAUUAAAUCAGUUGUGGUUCCUUAGAUCGUACCCAAGUUACUUGGAUAACUGUGGUAAUUCUAGAGCUAAUACAUGCCGACAGAGUUCCGACCGUCGCGGCGCCCUCGGGCGUCGCUCGCGGGAGGAACGCUUUUAUUAAGAUCAAAACCGGCCCGUCGCGGCGCGCUUCGUGCGCGUCCCGAUCGCGGCCCGCGCAAAAGACCUGGUGACUCUGAAUAACUUCGAGCUGAUCGCACGGUCUCCGUACCGGGCGACGCAUCUUUCAAAUGUCUGCCUUAUCAACUGUCGAUGGUAGGUUCCAUGCCUACCAUGGUGGUAACGGGUAACGGGGAAUCAGGGUUCGAUUCCGGAGAGGGAGCCUGAGAAACGGCUACCACAUCCAAGGAAGGCAGCAGGCGCGCAAAUUACCCACUCCCGGAACGGGGAGGUAGUGACGAAAAAUAACGAUACGGGACUCAUCCGAGGCCCCGUAAUCGGAAUGAGAACACUUUAAAACCUUUAAACGAGGAUCAAUUGGAGGGCAAGUCUGGUGCCAGCAGCCGCGGUAAUUCCAGCUCCAAUAGCGUAUAUUAAAGUUGUUGCGGUUAAAAAGCUCGUAGUCGGAUCUGUGUCUGGACGGUGCCGGACCACCCUGGCGGUCCGUCGUGUCGCGGCCGGCCGUGUCGCGGGACCACGUGUCCCGUCGGCGCGGUCGCCGUCGCGCUCGUCAGCCGUCUCGGGGUGUUAGUUACCGGCACGUCGGCCGGACGUAUUGUCGGCAGGCGGACACGUGUCUCGUGCUUCCGGCGCGCCGCGCGGCCACGCGUCGCGCGGCCGUCGGUGUUCGACGACGGCGGCCGCCUACUCCAAUCUUGCUGCGCGGUGCUCUUUCACCGAGUGCCGUCGGCGGGCCGACACGUUUACUUUGAACAAAUUAGAGUGCUCAAG